rnacentral:ncRNA from 1 species
UGGCAGAGAAUUAGAAGUUCUUAGUGCCCCUGUCAACCCACAGCGAUGUGCUGCCACGGAUGGCAGCACAACCCCUGAUCGAACCAUGGAAGGUUCGUCCAGGGGGUUCGCGUCUGCCUGCCAAUUCACUAUAGCAGGGGCACUUAGAACAUCUUAUUCUCGAAC